rnacentral:rRNA from 1 species
GGUUUUUUGAGGUUGAUUUAAGAUUAUACCUGCUCUAUGAAGUUUUAAAUGGCUGCAGUAUAUUGACUGUACUAAGGUAGCAUAAUCAUUAGUUUCUUAAUUAGAGGCUUGUAUGAAUGGUUUAACGAGGUAAAUUCUUUUUUGGAUUUAUGAAAUUAAAUUUACGUUUUAGUAAGAAGGCUAAAAUUUUUAUAAGGGACGAGAAGACCCUAUAGAGUUUUAUUAAUUAUUAAUUGAUUGUUUAAUUGAUAGUUAAUUUUGUUGGGGCGAUAAUUAAAUUUAUAUAACUUUAAUAUUUAGAACAUUAAUGUUUGAGUGCUUGAUCCACUAUGUGAUUAAAAGAUUAAAUUACCUUAGGGAUAACAGCGUAAUAGUUUUUAAAGUUCUUAUUGAAUAAACUGUUUGCGACCUCGAUGUUGGAUUAAGAUUUGGUUUUAGUGUAGAAGUUAAAAUGUCUGGUCUGUUCGACCAUUAAAAUCUUACAUGAUCUGAGUUUAAACCGGCGUGAGCCAGGUUGGUUUCUAUCUUUAUUCAAAAGUAUAUUUUAGUACGAAAGGACCAGAUAUGGAUUAAUUUAAUUUGAUUUGAAGAAUUUA